GGGCGAGUGGCGGAACUGGUAUACGCGCGGGACUCAAAAUCCCGUUCUCGCAAGGGAUUGAGGGUUCGAUUCCCUCCUCGCCCA
rnacentral:tRNA from 2 species